AAUAGAUACCCCGGUAGUCCACCCCGUAAACGUUGGGAACUAGUUGUGGGGUCCAUUCCACGGAUUCCGUGACGCAGCUAACGCAUUAAGUUCCCCGCCUGGGGAGUACGGCCGCAAGGCUAAAACUCAAAGGAAUUGACGGGGACCCGCACAAGCGGCGGAGCAUGCGGAUUAAUUCGAUGCAACGCGAAGAACCUUACCAAGGCUUGACAUAUACGAGAACGCUGCAGAAAUGUAGAACUCUUUGGACACUCGUAUACAGGUGGUGCAUGGUUGUCGUCAGCUCGUGUCGUGAGAUGUUGGGUUAAGUCCCGCAACGAGCGCAACCCUCGUUCUAUGUUGCCAGCACGUUAUGGUGGGAACUCAUGGGAUACUGCCGGGGUCAACUCGGAGGAAGGUGGGGAUGACGUCGAAAUCAUCAUGCCCCUUAUGUCUUGGGCUUCGACGCAUGCUACAAUGGCCGGUACAAAGGGCUGCGAUGCCGCGAGGCGGAGCGAACUCCCAAAAAGCCGGUCCCAGUUCGGAUUGAGGU
rnacentral:rRNA from 1 species